UCCUGGUUUCCCAGGCAGUCCCAUCAGAGUGCCCUCUUACGAGGUUGCAACUGACAGCAGGGGUUGCGCUCGUUAUAGGACUUAACCCAACAUCUCACGACACGAGCUGACGACAGCCAUGCAGCACCUGUGUAUAUGUUCAUGGUUUCCCAUGAAAGACCUCAUCUCUGAGGCUGUCAUAUACAUGUCAAACCUAGGUAAGGUUUCUCGCGUAGUGUCGAAUUAAACCACAUGUUCCACCGCUUGUGCGGACCCCCGUCAAUUCCUUUGAGUUUUAAUCUUGCGACCGUAGUCCCCAGGCGGAUCACUUAUCGCGUUAGCUACGACACUAAUCCUGCAGAGCAGGACUAACGUCUAGUGAUCAUCGUUUACAGCGUGGACUAC
rnacentral:misc_RNA from 1 species